AUAAAGUUUUAUUUUGGCUUAAAAAUUUAUUAUUUAAUUAUUUUAUAUGUAAAUUUUUGUGUGAAUUUUUAAUUAUUUUAAAAAUAAUUAUUUUUAGUUUAUUCGCAGUAAUUAAUAUUAUUAAUUAAAGAAAUUUAGAAAUAGUAAUUUUAUUAAGUAUUGGUUAAAUUUGUGCCAGCAUCCGCGGUUAUACAAAUAAUACAAGUAAAUUUUUUAAGUUUUAGUUAAAUUUAUUUAUAUUUAUUUUAAAAUAAAUUUAUUAGGUGAAAUUUAUAAAUUUAUAAAAAAUUUAUUUUAUAUAAUUGAAUCUAAAAAAUUUUUAUAAUAAACUAGGAUUAGAUACCCUAUUAUUAAAAAUGUAAAUAUUAAAACUAAGGUAGUAAUAGUUAUGAUCUUGAAACUUAAAAAAUUUGGCGGUAUUUUAGUCUAUUCAGAGGAACCUGUUUUAUAAUCGAUAAUCCACGUUGGACCUUACUUAAGUUUGUAAAUCAAUUUAUAUACCGUCGUUAUAAGAAUAUUUUAAAAGAAUAAUAAUUUUCAAGAAUUUUUAUAUAAUUUAUAUCAGAUCAAGGUGUAGUUUAUAUUUAAGUAAAAAUGGGUUACAAUUUAUUUAUAAUUGAAUUUAAAUAUGAAAAAUUUAAUGAAAAUGGAUUUGAAUGUAAAAUUAUAUAGAUUAAUAAUUUGAUUUUAGCUCUAAAAUAUGUACACAUCGCCCGUCGCUCUUAUUAUUAAAGUAAGAUAAGUCGUAACAUAGUAGAUGUACUGGAAAGUGUAUCUAGAAUG
rnacentral:ncRNA from 1 species